rnacentral:rRNA from 1 species
GACAGAGGGUGCAAACGUUGUUCGGAAUACUGGGCGUAAAGCGAGUGUAGGCGGUUCGAUAAGUCGGAUGUGAAAGCCCCGGGCUCAACCCGGGAAGUGCACUCGAUACUGUCGAGCUAGAGUAUCGGAGAGGUUGGUGGAAUUCUCGGGUGUAGAGGUGAAAUUCGUAGAUAUCGAGAGGAACACCGGUGGCGAAGGCGGCCAACUGGCCAGAUACUGACACUGAUGCACGGAAAGCGUGGGGAGCAAACAGG